UUGCCAUGCCACCCCUGUUGAUAUCUCCAGAGAGGUGGCCUUUUCGCUCCUUGUUUGGCUUUCUGUGCUGGGGAUGGGAGAAGCAACAAGCAAGUGCUCUGCCAUGAGUUCUCCCCCAACCCCACUCACUACACAGACCUGAGUUCCAGAUAAAAACCAAAGCAAUUCCUUAGAGUGCCCAGCUCUUCCCUACCCUACUAAGUCUGAGACGAUGCCAUGCCACCCACCGGAAACACCUGGGUCAGUGUCCUAGUUCCUGCUUUUCCAGUAUGGUGCCAUCUGCCCAGUUCACACCAGCUGCCCGCUUCCUUCUCUGGGCUUCCUGGAGUGACUCAGCUCUCAGAGUUCUGAGACAAGCAUGCUCCAGCCACCAGCUCGGAGAGAGAGAGGCUCAGUAUCCCCUGUUUACCUGUGACCGUUCAACAAGCUCUAAGAGCACUUCCUACUGAAAAUGGAGCAUCAUGAUUGGUCUCUUACACAGGCAGUGUCUCCAUGUCUCCCUCCCAAACCUGUGUUCUCAAGGGCUUGUGAAUGAACAUGGUCAGCAGUCAUGAAUGAAAGCAGCUUAGGAGUCACCAUGUCUUGAACAUGCAAGUACUCACCUUCAGAAAAGUUUCCAGAUGCUUCCCCCAAAUGGCUGCACACUUUUAAGUUCCAUUUAAUUAAAUAAUUUCAUUCAUU